rnacentral:rRNA from 1 species
GACGAACGCUGGCGGCGUGCUUAACACAUGCAAGUCGAACGGAAAGGCCCUGCUUGCAGGGUACUCGAGUGGCGAACGGGUGAGUAACACGUGGGUGAUCUGCCCUGCACUUCGGGAUAAGCUUGGGAAACUGGGUCUAAUACCGGAUAGGAACCAUCUUUAGUGUGGUGGUUGGAAAGUUUUUUCGGUGUAGGAUGAGCUCGCGGCCUAUCAGCUUGUUGGUGGGGUAAUGGCCUACCAAGGCGGCGACGGGUAGCCGGCCUGAGAGGGUGUACGGCCACAUUGGGACUGAGAUACGGCCCAGACUCCUAAGGGAGGCAGCAGUGGGGAAUAUUGCACAAUGGGCGCAAGCCUGAUGCAGCGACGCCGCGUGGGGGAUGAAGGCCUUAGGGUUGUAAACUCAUUUCGCUAGGGACGAAGCUUUUUGUGACGGUACCUAGAUAAGAAGCAUCGGCUAACUACGUG